CUGGUAGGAAAACAGAAAUCCCACACGACUAGGGUUUCUAGUGGGUACUGCGGUCCUACCGAUUUACAUGCCACCUCACCUAACAGUUAUUGGUGACACAUAGAUGGAUGAGUGUACAACUCUUGUACAAUGCUUCUCAAGCAUGUUGCAGUGUAACUUGGUCUCUAAGCCAUGAAAACCUCACCUAACAGUUAUUGGUCCCAUUUCUUAGUUAAGUCAGACCCACCGUAUAACCGUAGGAAUAAAGUCGUCAUUGGGUCCUCACCUAACAGUUAUUGGUGCCCAACCCCAC
rnacentral:lncRNA from 1 species